GCUAUUAUUCUUAAGGCCUUCCUCACUGCUUAGGCAUUUUCUGUCGGGAGACAUCAGCUUGGUGUCGAAACAAGAGGGGAAAAAUAACCGACUUGUUGGAAUUUCCUGAACUGAACUUGGCCUGGGAAGAAGGAAAGGCGUGGAUUCAGAUCUCCGGGUACUGUCCACAAAGCACAGCUCCGAAGAAGAAAGGGCCAGGCUGCUCAGGGCUCCAGCCGGACUUACUCAUCUGACACCUCAAUAGACGACUUCUUGUAGCCAGACUUGUUCCUCUUCUUCAGCCCAGCUGAUUUCCUCCCCAUCCUCACCAGCAGCAGGACAACCACCACGGCUGAGGGGACGAAGACAAGGACGGAGAGGAGGGCCACAGAGGAGAGCAUGAUGCCAAACCCUAGACGGGGGGGAAAGGGAAGACAGGCAGAGAGAGAGGGAGACGCAGAAUCGGAAGCAGACUCUGGG